AGAAGACAAAAAAGGAGGCAAAGAUGACAAAAAGGGAGGGAAAGGUGGAAAGGAUGACGUGACAAAGGGAAAAGGUAAAGAUGAUGGCAAGAAAGGGAAGGAUAAAGGCAAAGGAAAAAAGGUAGUAAGUGAAUCAGAGGAGGAAGAAGAGGAGUUACUAAAUAGUGAGGAGGAGGAAUUAAGUCAGGACGAUGAAGAUGAAGAAUCUGAUAGAGACAUGAAAAAGGGCAAAGGACGUGGAAAAGGUGACGUGAAAGGGAAGGGAAAAGCCAAACCAAGGCAUGCUAAAUCAGAUGAGGAUGAUGAGGAUGAAGAGGAAGAUGAGGAAGAUGAGGAAGACAGCGAGGAGGAGGAUCGGAAAGGAAAGAAGAAAUCCAAAGACCCCAAAGCCGGGAAAUCCAAAGGAGAGGUGGAUGACAAAAAAAAGAAACCAAAAAAAAAGGAAGCAUUACUAUCACAAGAGCAACCAAAAGAGGAGAAGGCAAAAAGAGGCCUGAAAAACACAUCCAAGCUUUUCAUGCGCUUUUCUGGCUUUAAACGAAAGCGGGCCUCCAAGAAGAAAUUGAAAAGCACAUCCAGACUGUUUCUUGGACUUGGCAGGCGCAAGAGUCGCAUAGCCCGCAAGAAGCGGCGAAAGUCUGUGCUAAAGAAUACCUCACGUUUCAUGAUGCGCUUUAAAGCUAGCAAGAAAAAGAAGAAAGAGGAAGAAGAAAAGAAGAAAAAGGAAGCAAAGGAUGGGUCAAAGUCAUCCUACAUGCUGAUCCGUAUGGGUGGCAACAAGACCCCAGACAAGAAGCAAGGCUUUCUCAAGGGCCUGUUUGGGAGGAAAAAGGAUGGUGCCCCUGAUUUUAAAAACCAGAGUUUAUUGUUAGGAAAGAUUGCUGGAGCAACCAAUUGGUUGACCAAACGGUUCUUGUCAACAAAAGGUCACCAAAGUGCUGCGGGCAGAAGCUAUGGGCGUCAUGACCCCUGGAUGUCCAGACAGAGUUCAAGAAGGCUGCCCUCCACAAGACCCAACAUGCAAGGACCUCAUGGAUAUCUCAACAGUGGUUAUGAACAUGAUGAAAUUCAUGGCUGGGAGAGAAGGAAUAGCUACCACAGAGAUGGG
ensembl:lncRNA